AGAGUUUGAUCCUGGCUCAGAAUCAACGCUGGCGGCGUGCCUAACACAUGCAAGUCGAACGAGAAAGGGUAGCAAUACCUGAGUAAAGUGGCGCACGGGUGAGUAACACGUGACUAACCUACCCUGGAGUGGGGGAUAACUGAGGGAAACCUUAGCUAAUACCGCAUAAUACCUACGGGUCAAAGGAGCAAUUCGCUUUGGGAGGGGGUCGCGGCCGAUUAGUUAGUUGGCGGGGUAAUGGCCCACCAAGACUGUGAUCGGUAUCCGGCCUGAGAGGGCGCACGGACACACUGGAACUGAAACACGGUCCAGACUCCUACGGGAGGCAGCAGUGGGGAAUUUUGCGCAAUGGGGGAAACCCUGACGCAGCAACGCCGCGUGGAGGAUGAAGUACUUCGGUACGUAAACUCCUUUCGAUCGGGACGAUAAUGACGGUACCGGAAGAAUAAGCACCGGCUAACUACGUGCCAGCAGCCGCGGUAAUACGUAGGGUGCGAGCGUUAAUCGGAAUUACUGGGCGUAAAGCGUGCGCAGGCGGUUCGUUAAGACAGAUGUGAAAUCCCCGGGCUUAACCUGGGAACUGCAUUUGUGACUGGCGAGCUAGAGUAUGGCAGAGGGGGGUAGAAUUCCACGUGUAGCAGUGAAAUGCGUAGAGAUGUGGAGGAAUACCGAUGGCGAAGGCAGCCCCCUGGGCCAAUACUGACGCUCAUGCACGAAAGCGUGGGGAGCAAACAGAUUAGAUACCCUGGUAGUCCACGCCCUAAACGAUGUCAACUAGUUGUUGGGUCUUCAUUGACUUAGUAACGUAGCUACGCGUGAAGUUGACCGCCUGGGGAGUACGGUCGCAGAUUAAACUCAAAGGAUUGACGG
rnacentral:rRNA from 1 species